rnacentral:rRNA from 1 species
UUUCGCAAUGCCCGAAAGGGUGACGAAGCGACGCCGCGUGAGUGAGGAAGGCCUUCGGGUUGUAAAGCUCUGUCAGGAGUUAAGAAAUAUAAGUGUGCUAAUACCACAUUUAUUUGACGAAGGCUCCAAAGGAAGCCACGGCUAACUCUGUGCCAGCAGCCGCGGUAAUACAGAGGUGGCAAGCGUUGUUCGGAAUUAUUGGGCGUAAAGAGCACGUAGGUGGGUUUGUAAGUCAGGUGUGAAAGCCUUCUGUUCAAAGGAAGAACGGCAUCUGAAACUGCAGAUCUUGAGUGUAGGAGGGGAGAGUGGAACUUCUGGUGGAGCGGUGAAAUGCGUAGAUAUCAGAAGGAACGUCGGCGGCGAAAGCGACUCUCUGGCCUAUUACUGACACUCAGUGUGCGAAAGCUAGGGGAGCAAACGGGAUUAGAUACCCCGGUAGUCCUAGCCGUAAACGAUGGGCACUAAGUAGAGGGGUUUUA